CAUCAGCAAGCCACAAAGAAAUUGGAUUUAUGGUCCCUGCCUCCAGUACUUGUAGUACAUCUCAAGCGAUUUUCUUACAGUCGAUACAUGAGAGACAAGUUGGAUACCUUAGUUGAUUUUCCUAUCAAAUACUGCUUUUGCAAAAAAUAAAGAUGAUGGAAAAUGGUACUAUUUUGAUGACAGUAGUGUCUCCACUGCAUCUGAAGACCAAAUUGUGUCCAAAGCAGCAUAUGUACUCUUCUACCAGAGACAAGACACUUUCAGUGGAACUGGCUUUUUUCCUCUUGACCGAGAAACUAAAGGUGCUUCAGCUGCCACUGGCAUCCCAUUAGAAAGUGAUGAAGAUAGCAAUGAUAAUGACAAUGAUAUAGAAAAUGAAAACUGUAUGCACACUAACUAAUGAAAGUCCUAGAAGCCAUAAAAGAGACACUUUCCUGCUGGUGGUAUCUAUGGAAAUGAUGAAGUUACCCACCACAUUAAAACAAAAGUCUGAGAUGGGGAGUUUCAGAUAACCGAAUGUAAAUCCUUUAUCAGAUUUUAACUUGUGCAGUACUUGAAGUGAAACACAAUGAAAACUUUAACAGAAAUUGUCUCUUAAUACAUUUACAGUCUUGUAUUUACAAGCUAAAUAUAUAUAGGAAAUCACAAAUAAAUCCCUUUUAAGUUUGCUGCUGUUUUGAUUAAUUAUGUUUCCUUUAAUUUUUUGGAUGUGAGUUGAUGACAAAUGUUAAAUUUGUGGAUGUUGGUCAUUUAUUUUGCUCUAAUAAUACUGCAAGAAAACUAUGGCUGAACUUAGUUUUUGGAUAAUCUAGUUCA
rnacentral:lncRNA from 1 species